GACCCGUCUUGAAACACGGACCAAGGAGUCUAACAUGUGCGCGAGUCACGGGGUCUUGCUUAGGCCCAGAGGCGCAAUGAAAGUGAAGGCCGGUCCCGAGAUCGGCCGAGUUGGGACUCUCCGGCGGAGACGUCGGGGAAGCACCAACGGCUCGUCCCGUCCGACUCGUCGGUGGGGCGAAGCGCGAGCGUACACGUUGGGACCCGAAAGAUGGUGAACUAUGCCUGGGCAGGACGAAGCCAGAGGAAACUCUGGUGGAGGUCCGUAGCGGUUCUGACGUGCAAAUCGAUCGUCAGACCUGGGUAUAGGGGCGAAAGACCAAUCGAACCAUCUAGUAGCUGGUUCCCUCCGAAGUUUCCCUCAGGAUAGCUGGCGCUCGGAGGCAUAUCAGUCUCAUCCGGUAAAGCGAAUGAUUAGAGGCCUUGGGGCCGAAACGACCUCAACCUAUUCUCAAACUUUAAAUGGGUGAGAAGCCGGCUUGCCCGAUCGAAGCCCGGACGUCUAGGAUGAGAGCGCCCAGUGGGCCACUUUU
rnacentral:rRNA from 1 species